UACGAAGGGGGCUAGCGUUGCUCGGAAUCACUGGGCGUAAAGCGCACGUAGGCGGAUUGUUAAGUCAGGGGUGAAAUCCUGGAGCUCAACUCCAGGACUGCCUUUGAUACUGGCGAUCUCGAGUCCGGGAGAGGUGAGUGGAACUGCGAGUGUAGAGGUGAAAUUCGCAGAUAUUCGCAAGAACACCAGUGGCGAAGGCGGCUCACUGGCCCGGUACUGACGCUGAGGUGCGAAAGCGUGGGGAGCAAACAGG
rnacentral:rRNA from 1 species